UGGGGAAUAUUGCACAAUGGGCGAAAGCCUGAUGCAGCAACGCCGCGUGAGUGAUGAAGGUCUUCGGAUUGUAAAGCUCUGUCUUUUGGGACGAUAAUGACGGUACCAAAGGAGGAAGCCACGGCUAACUACGUGCCAGCAGCCGCGGUAAUACGUAGGUGGCGAGCGUUGUCCGGAUUUACUGGGCGUAAAGGGUGCGUAGGCGGAUGUUUAAGUGAGAUGUGAAAUACCCGGGCUUAACUUGGGUGCUGCAUUUCAAACUGGAUAUCUAGAGUGCAGGAGAGGAGAAUGGAAUUCCUAGUGUAGCGGUGAAAUGCGUAGAGAUUAGGAAGAACACCAGUGGCGAAGGCGAUUCUCUGGACUGUAACUGACGCUGAGGCACGAAAGCGUGGGUAGCAAACAGGAUUAGAUACCCUGGUAGUCCACGCCGUAAACGAUGAGUACUAGGUGUAGGAGGUAUCGACCCCUUCU
rnacentral:rRNA from 1 species